rnacentral:rRNA from 1 species
GAGAGUUUGAUCCUGGCUCAGGACGAACGCUGGCGGCGUGCCUAAUACAUGCAAGUAGAACGCUGAAGAAAGGAGCUUGCUUCUUUUGGAUGAGUUGCGAACGGGUGAGUAACGCGUAGGUAACCUGCCUUGUAGCGGGGGAUAACUAUUGGAAACGAUAGCUAAUACCGCAUAACAGCUUUUGACACAUGUUAGAAGCUUGAAAGAUGCAAUUGCAUCACUACGAGAUGGACCUGCGUUGUAUUAGCUAGUAGGUAGGGUAACGGCCUACCUAGGCGACGAUACAUAGCCGACCUGAGAGGGUGAUCGGCCACACUGGGACUGAGACACGGCCCAGACUCCUACGGGAGGCAGCAGUAGGGAAUCUUCGGCAAUGGGGGCAACCCUGACCGAGCAACGCCGCGUGAGUGAAGAAGGUUUUCGGAUCGUAAAGCUCUGUUGUAAGAGAAGAACGUGUGUGAGAGUGGAAAGUUCACACAGUGACGGUAACUUACCAGAAUGGACGGCUAA